rnacentral:lncRNA from 1 species
UGGUGGCGAUCUUCCGCCCGUCUCUUCUUCUGUUGUCCCUCCUCGUGGCCGACGUCGGAGGCGUCCCCGCCGCGGUGCCUCCCCGCUGGAUCAGGUCCCUCGCCGCUUACGUCGCCGUAUCAAUUUUAAUUAGGAACCUGUAAUAUUUUUCAUUCAUCAUUUUUAUGACUUUGAAUAAAUAUAUUUUUACCUUUUCCUUUAUUCGACUUACACCUUUACUUUAAAGUACGUUAGUGUAACCGAU